rnacentral:rRNA from 1 species
AAGCCAGCACCUCAAGUGGUCAGGAGGAUUAUUGGGCCUAAAGCAUCCGUAGCCUGUUCUAUAAGUUUCCGGUUAAAUCCAUUAGCUCAACUAAUGGGCUGCCGAAAAUACUGUAGAACUAGGGAGUGGGAGAGGUAGACGGUAUUCGGUAGGAAGGGGUAAAAUCCUUUGAUCUAUUGAGGACCACCUGUGGCGAAGGCGGUCUACCAGAACACGUUCGACGGUGAGGGAUGAAAGCUGGGGGAGCAAACCGGAUUAGAUACCCGAGUAGUCC